UUUCAACCUUCCGUAGUUGACAGCAGAACUGACAUAGUAACCAGUGUCUCCACUGUUUGCCGUGUGAUUCCUAUGUCAGAAAGUUUCUUCAAAAUAUUACCUGAUUAUUUUGCGCUUCGGUUCUUGUGAUAUUUUCCUCUUUCAUCAGUGGAAUUGUAUCCGAUGGAUUCUGCAGGAAAAUAUUUUACAGUAGAUACCAUCAAUAAAAAUUUAAGACAUGUAGUCUUUGUCUAUCCAAGUCCUGUUGUGUGUCGAGGAAAUGAAAUCGAAGAGGAAAUUAAGAAGGGGAAAAAAUUUCCUUUUGACGAACUCUACCAUGUACACUCUGGGGAUCCUCAAGGAAUGGGACAAAAACCCGUAACUUUUUUUCAGCAGGU